rnacentral:rRNA from 1 species
GAUGAACGCUGGCGGCGUGCCUAAUACAUGCAAGUCGAGCGAACAGAUGAGGAGCUUGCUCCUCUGACGUUAGCGGCGGACGGGUGAGUAACACGUGGAUAACCUACCUAUAAGACUGGGAUAACUUCGGGAAACCGGAGCUAAUACCGGAUAAUAUAUUGAACCGCAUGGUUCAAUAGUGAAAGACGGUUUUGCUGUCACUUAUAGAUGGAUCCGCGCCGCAUUAGCUAGUUGGUAAGGUAACGGCUUACCAAGGCAACGAUGCGUAGCCGACCUGAGAGGGGGAUCGGCCAAACUGGAACGGAAACCCGGUCCAGACCCCUAGGGGAGGCAGCAGUGGGGAAUCUUCCGCAAGGGGCGAAAGCCUAACGGGGCAACGCCGCGGGGGGGAUGAAGGUUUUCGGUUCGUAAAACUCUUUUAUUAGGGAAGAAAAAAUGUUUAAGUAACUUUGCACGUUUUGACGGUACCGAAUCAGAAAGCCACGGCUAACUACGU